rnacentral:misc_RNA from 1 species
CGUAGGUGAACCUGCGGAAGGAUCAUUAUUGUAUAACCGAGGUGCGAGGGCUGUCGCUGACCCGACAGGUCGUGCACGCCCGAGUGCCCUCACACACAUCCAUCUCACCCCUAUGUGCACCACCGCGUGGGUCCCCCUUUGGCUUGUUCGGAGGGGGGCUUACGUUUUCACACAAACUUUGUAUGCAGUGUAGAAUGUAUUUUUUGUUUUUGCGAUCACGCAAUCAAUACAACUUUCAACAACGGAUCUCUUGGCUCUC